UACGUAGGGGGGCUAGCGUUGUCCGGAUUUAUUGGGCGUAAAGAGCUCGUAGGUGGUUCGGUAAGUCGGAUGUGAAAUCUCCAGGCUCAACCUGGAGGGGUCAUUCGAUACUGCCGUGACUAGAGUUCGGUAGAGGAGUGUGGAAUUCCUGGUGGAGCGGUGAAAUGCGCAGAGAUCAGGAGGAACACCCGUAGCGAAGGCGGCACUCUGGGCCGAUACUGACACUGAGGGAGCGAAAAGCGUGGGGGGAGCGAACAGG
rnacentral:rRNA from 1 species